CCUGCUCUAGAAACCUCUCAUUCCUCUCGUCUUGACCCUCUGUCAUUGCAAGAUUGAGCAGACUAUGGGAUUGCGUUUGCUCAUCGUUGUUCAUCGCACAAUUCAUUGGAUUUCAUCGAGAUUGAGUCUCUGCCUUAAUCCCAUGGUCUGUUCGAUGGAAUUCCAUUGAGAUUGAGCAGAUCAUGUGAUUGAGUAGAUCAGUUGUUACAAGGUCCUAUGAAGUUAGACCUAUAAAACUGUUACACUUGAGAGCAUCUCUAUCUUCUUCAGCAAUGGAUUUGGAGCUACACAAGGAAUGGUGGGGAAUAAUCUCAUCUAAGUUGUCUCAAAAUUGUAAGUUCAAGUAGAUCAAUACCCAAUCUAGCAAGUUCAUAAUCUAGACAGCGAUAAGAGGGAGGAGGGAGAGAGAAAGGACCACAGAAGGAGUCUGUUGGAGGCUAGAGCAUGGAUUGAGCUUUCCAAAAUAGAGCUCCUUAUCCCUCUAGAUUUUCAGAGGUGUCUUAGUUUUAAUAUUUUGACAAAACUAAUAAAUUCCAUUGUGUUUUUAUAGUUUGCGGAGGGAAAUAUGAGAACUUGUAUAAUCAUGGAGUUUUCUGUUGGAGAGGGCAUGUGAGCUUUCCAAAAUAAAACCCCUUGUCUCUGUGUACUCCUUAUUCUGCA